AGCUUCCAGAAGCAUUUGUGAGUCAUAAUGCAGCUCUCAGCGGUACCAUGUUGUGCACAGUGGUCAGGUUCACAGGCUGUUCCAAGGUGGCAGGAGUGUCAGGUCCACCCUCCCAGGAAUGCCCUUGCAACUUGGAUAUCUUCUUUGACAUCUCUCCUGUACUUGGAAUUCCGCCCUCAGUGGCACACCAAGCUCAUACCACCUGGGAGAUUCUCAGGGCUUGUUUUUUCAACUGCCUACUAAACCUGCCUUCCUUGAAGACCCAUAAGUACUGCAAAGUCAUCUCAGUGGACUCUGCUACCUCGUUAAUCUUUCUUGCUCGGGACCUCUCUUCCUGCCCUUCCCCAAGUGGAGUUGUGUCUGCUCCUACUCCUGUGUGUCCCUGAAAACUUGGAGGCACAUCAACAUGCUGCUUUUCCCAUCACUAAACUACAGCUGUCAACCUGAGCAGCAGCAAGCACCUUUGGAUAGCUGCAGAAACAUAGUGCUUGAAGUCAAGCUCUUGCUCACUAGUUACUUGUCUUUGACAAUUUGUUUAUUUUUCUUUCUGAGGUGGUAUCCUUAUCUAAAAUUAAAGCAUGAUUUAAAUAACUAAUUGUGAAAAGAAAUACUCUGUGUACUUCAAAGUUUUAUACCAGUGUUCACUUAGUCUUGACUGACUAUACUAUUAAAUUCUUCAUUAUCCAUUUUCCUGUUCCCUGCUCAUUUUGUACGUAAUAUUGACCAUAAAAUUCCUAAAUUUUAUGAGUUUUAAGGGUAGAGAGUAACAAGAAAUAUUUCUUGUCCUAAUCAUCCCAUUCCUUAGCAAACUAAUAAAUUCUUGCUAACAAGACAAUUGAAUGAAUAAAGCAAUAAAGCUUUAAAGUGAAACUAUAAUGUUUGUUACAGAGAGUGUGGGAGUAACAGGAAGACAAGAGGGUACUCAGGAAAAGGGAACAAAAUAGGGGUUGACCUGCCUCAAUACUGACUCGUAUGGUUCCACAGAAACACUAUGAAUCAGAUGCCUAGGGAAGCUCUUCAUCCUAACAAAAUGGCAAUAAAAGGAGCUCUCUUUCUUAGGAAUGACACUGUCCGUGCCACAUAGCAUUGUCUCAAAUGUGUAUUGAAUUCACUAGCCACAUGAUUUGCAUAUUUUUUAUGUACAUACACACACACAUACCAAUUUGUCAUAGCCUGUGUGUAUGGUUUUUUUCCCCUUUUAAACUUAAUUCUCAUAUGUAGAAACAGUGUACAUGCUUUGCAGAAUGAUAUUCAUACAAAGGAUGAUCAAAAUACACGUUUAAAUUUUUUAAAUUUGUUACCAUAAAAGAUACAUUGCCAUUAACCCUCCUCAAAAUACUCUCCCUCUUUUCCAACGCACUUCUCCCACCAUUCUUGCCACUUUCUGAAGCGGUUCUGGAAGUCCUCUUUUGAGAGGGUCUUUACCAAGAUGUAAUCAAAGCUGCCAACUGCCAUCCAACUGAAAGGCUUAUUAAAAAUAUUACAGUGUAUCUUCAUCCAUCUUAUUCACUAUAUCUGACACCAUGCACCUUCUGGCUUUUCCCCAAAGUCAAAAGGACCAUAUAAGAUAAACAUUUUGAAUUGAUUCAAGACAUUGAGGCAGCCAGGACAGCACAGUUUAAAGCUACCCACAGGGGAGGACUUCCGGGACUGCUUCAGAGUGUAGGCAGAAUGAUGGGAUAAGUAUGUUCUAAGUGAGGGAAAAUGUUUUGAGAGGUACUGUAUUAGUAGCAAUGUAUCUUUAUGUUACUUUUUACUUUAAACAUUCACUGUAGUUUUUUAUCAUAAUGCAUAUUUGGAUUGUGUGUUGCCUGAUAGUACCUACCUAAUCAAUGCUGAAAUCGUAGGUAGUUCAGAAACUGCUCCUUAUUAAGAUAGAUAAGAAAUGUCCACCAAAAUGUUACACUAUAUGUAGUAUUAAGCUUUCUCGAAUCCUGCUUAAAAUUUAAAACUAAGAAUAAGCAAUAAUCAGUAAAUGAGUUUGACAUUUAAGGUUUCAACUUGAUUGGCUUAGGAGUUACCCAGGGGAGUAGUAAAGUACGCUUCUGGAUGUGUCUGGCUGAGUCAAAGAGGAGUGACAUUGGAGUCUAUAUCUGGCCCUCACCCCUUCCUUUCUGGUGCUGUUCUCCUACUCUGCUUCCCUGCUGCUAUAAACUAAAGUUUUGCUCUGUCAUGCCCUUCUACCAUGAUGGUUUGUACCAUGGAGCCAGUAGAUAGAUUAUGGACUGAAUCCCCUGCAACUAUGAGUCAAAUCAAACUUUUGUUCUUUCAAGUCAUGGGUGUCAGAUAUUGUAUAUACAAAGAUAUCUGACUGAUUCAGUGAGAAUUCAUUUUAUUUUUAUAUGGAUAUCUUUUAAGCUUUCUCCUGUACACAACCUUUCAGGAUAAGGUAUAUGGCAGUGGAGCCAAAAACUUGAUGGUUCUACUUAGUAUCCAUCUUUGGAGAAAAAAAAAAUUAUACGGUAGCGAGUUUUCUUUAACACUAUCCUUGGACAACAAAAAUACUAGGUACUUAUUAUAACUCUUACUAUGCCUGGGUCACUGGGUCCUGGUUAAAAAAUGAACAAAUCAAACAGUAAAAUACACUUCCUGUUUUUACAGAGUUUAUAGUAGAAUAAAAUAUAUGACCAUAAACCCAGCAAAACAAUUAAGAGAAAUAGGAUUUGCCUUUUACCAAAGAAGCAAGAUACAUUUGUUCCAAAAUGACUCAUUAAAGGCUGCAGUUGUUUAGUAUGAGAGUAGAUUGAUUAGCAAGAAAAUAAUAGUUUAACCCUACCCUCUAGUCACCAGGCUCCUUGGAUGAGUGCUCAUAUUUCAGAUGAGCCAGCCUGGCAGCAGGAAAAGACUUUUGCAUAAAAGAUUAGGGAAAUUGCCAAGCAACAUUAUGAAGAUUCAUGUUUUUGAAAUUCCUGUUAUUACUGCUUUGAUUAAAUUGGUGUUUCCAAGGGAAUGGGCUUUUAAAUGAAAUUUUAAUAUUUCCCCAGCUAAUUCCUAAUUAUUCUUUCCUUUUACUCUGCUUUCACAGUGUGAUCAUAUUUUGUUUCACUUCCUCAUUUGUCUACCCAAGCCUGUUGCUGGGAAAUAUUUAAGUAACAUGUUUAUGAAAUAAUAAACAUGGGGACAUUUUUGGUUAGAUUUAAGAUUUAGGUCAUGUGCUAAUUUUUAUAGAAAUGACAUUUGUAACACUUAAAUUUGUGAUUGAAUUCUUAAAAAACAAAGACUUCUUCAGCCCUGAAAUUAAUUAGGUUACUGUGUGGUGAAAUCAUCUCUUCUACAGAACUGUUUGACUAAGUACCAGUUGUGAAACAAAUGAGAUGUUAGUCCAUAAUUAGAGUGAUUGUAAUUUGAUUUUAAACAGAGCUCUUAUUGCCUGGUGAGUGGCAUGCAGCCUAACAAUUUUUCCAGUGAAUAAAGGUACUGUAUAUUAAGGUGAUGGCUCUCUUACACUGUGUAUAUAUGGCUGAUAACUAAUCCUGGUACCCUUCUGUGUGUAUAUUUUAAAUGACUGUUCUUACACUGAGUUUGAAUGACUAAUAUUACACUACAUGAAAUAUUUGGCUAUUCAUUCUAAAAGUGAUAUUUUUACCCAAAGCAUUUAAUUCCACCAAAGCACUAAAAUACUUUGUAAUUCAAAGAAACACAA
rnacentral:lncRNA from 1 species